AGAAAAUAAGGUAAUCUCUUUCCUUAAUAUUUCUAGUUGCACAUUAACGACAAUGUGUCAAAUAAAGUGUGGGGUGACUUAGGAAAUUUUCAGAAUUUUCUUUCCAGUUAUGUUAUUUUCUUUGUUUUUAGUUUUUAAUUUUUCUUUUUAAUUUCAUGUUUGUGCUUGAGCUUGUAGAAAUACAAGUGAUUGGUUAGGAUUAUAUACCUAGGUUGUUUGUUUAAAUUUUAAAUUUCACCUAAAAUUAAAUAAUUUAGGUUGUUUUUAUGUAGACUACUUAGUUUAGUAUAUUAGACUAUAAAUAGGAAAAAGAAAUUAAAUAUAUCAAGUGAUAAAG
rnacentral:lncRNA from 1 species